rnacentral:rRNA from 1 species
GACAACCUGGUUGAUCCUGCCAGUAGUCAUAUGCUUGUCUCAAAGAUUAAGCCAUGCAUGUCUCAGUACAAGCCAAAUUAAGGUGAAACCGCGAAAGGCUCAUUAAAUCAGUUAUGGUUCCUUAGAUCGUACCAACAUUUACUUGGAUAACUGUGGUAAUUCUAGAGCUAAUACAUGCAAACAGAGCUUCGACCGGAGACGGAAGAGGCGCUUUUAUUAGAUCAAAACCAAUCGGCGGCGGGUCCGCUUGCGGGCUCGUCGUCGUUUUCACUGACGAAUCUGAAUAACUUUCUGCUGAUCGCACGGUCUCGCACCGGCGACGCAUCUUUCAAAUGUCUGCCUUAUCAACUGUCGAUGGUAGGUUCUGUGCCUACCAUGGUUGUAACGGGUAACGGGGAAUCAGGGUUCGAUUCCGGAGAGGGAGCCUGAGAAACGGCUACCACAUCCAAGGAAGGCAGCAGGCGCGCAAAUUACCCACUCCCGGCACGGGGAGGUAGUGACGAAAAAUAACGAUACGGGACUCAUCCGAGGCCCCGUAAUCGGAUUGAGAACAAUUUAAAUCCUUUAAC